rnacentral:rRNA from 1 species
GUCUAUGGCCAUGCCACCCUGAAUGUGCCAGAUCUCAUCUGAUCUCGGAAGCUAAGCAGGGUCAGGCCUGGCUAGUGCUUGGAUGGGAGACCACCUAGGAAGACCAGGCGCUGUAGGCA